CACGGGGGGAGCAAGCGUUGUUCGGAAUCACUGGGCGUAAAGGGCGUGUAGGCGGUUCGGUAAGUGGAAUGUGAAAUCCCUCAGCUCACCCGAGGACCUGCAUCCCAAACUGCCGAGCUUGAGUAUGGGAGAGGAUGAGGGAAUUCCUGGUGUAGCGGUGAAAUGCGUAGAUAUCAGGAGGAGCACCGGUGGCGAAGGCGCUCAUCUGGCCCAAUACUGACGCUGAGGCGCGAAAGCUAGGGGAGCAAACGGG
rnacentral:rRNA from 1 species